CGGGUGGUAAUGCCGGAUGCUCCGACUCCUCGCAUGGGGUGUCGGGAAAGAUUUCAUCGGUAUGGGAUGGGGUCGCGUCCUAUCAGGUAGUCGGCGGGGUAACGGCCCACCGAGCCUACGACGGGUAGCCGGCCUGAGAGGGCGACCGGCCACAUUGGGACUGAGAUACGGCCCAGACUCCUACGGGAGGCAGCAGUGGGGAAUAUUGCACAAUGGGCGCAAGCCUGAUGCAGCGACGCCGCGUGCGGGAUGACGGCCUUCGGGUUGUAAACCGCUUUUGAUCGGGAGCAAGCCUUCGGGUGAGUGUACCUUUCGAAUAAGCACCGGCUAACUACGUGCCAGCAGCCGCGGUAAUACGUAGGGUGCAAGCGUUAUCCGGAAUUAUUGGGCGUAAAGGGCUCGUAGGCGGUUCGUCGCGUCCGGUGUGAAAGUCCAUCGCUUAACGGUGGAUCUGCGCCGGGUACGGGCGGGCUGGAGUGCGGUAGGGGAGACUGGAAUUCCCGGUGUAACGGUGGAAUGUG
rnacentral:rRNA from 1 species